rnacentral:rRNA from 1 species
UAUGCAGGUAGGGAGGACCGUAGGUAAAUCCGCGGUCCAUUAAUCCUGAGAUGUGAUGCCGAGCCGAUUGUGGCGAAGUGGGUGAUCCUAUGCUGCCGAGAAAAGCCUCUAGUGAGUGUCGUGGCGGCCCGUACCCCAAACCGACUCGGGUGGUCAGGUAGAGGAUACCAAGGCGAUCGGGUGAACUGUGGUUAAGGAACUCGGCAAAUUGCCCCCGUAACUUCGGGGGAAGGGGGGCCUCCGCUGGUGAUCAGACUUGCUUUGUGAGCUGGUGGGGGUCGCAGAGGCCAGGGGGAAGCGACUGUUUACUAAAAACACAGGUCCGUGCGAAGUCGUAAGACGAUGUAUCGGACUGACGCCUGCCCGGUGCCGGAACGUUAAGGGGACCGGUUAGCGCACUUCGGUGUGCGAGGCUGAGAACUUAAGCGCCAGUAAACGGCGGUGGUAACUAUAACCAUCCUAAGGUAGCGAAAUUCCUUGUCGGGUAAGUUCCGACCUGCACGAAUGGCGUAACGACUUCCCCGCUGUCUCAACCGCAGACCCGGCGAAAUUGCACUACGAGUAAAGAUGCUCGUUACGCGCAGCAGGACGGAAAGACCCCGGGACCUUCACUACAGCUUGACAUUGGCGUUUGGAACGUCUUGUGUAGGAUAGGUGGGAGACUGUGAAGCUGUCACGCUAGUGGCGGUGGAGUCAUUGGUGAAAUACCACUCUGGUCGUUUUGAACGUCUAACUUCGGUCCGUGAUCCGGAUCAGGGACAGUGUCUGGUGGGUAGUUUAACUGGGGCGGUUGCCUCCUAAAGAGUAACGGAGGCGCCCAAAGGUUCCCUCAGCCUGGUUGGUAAUCAGGUGUCGAGUGUAAGUGCACAAGGGAGCUUGACUGUGAGACCGACGGGUCGAGCAGGAGCGAAAGCUGGGACUAGUGAUCCGGCGGUGGCAUGUGGAAGCGCCGUCGCUCAACGGCUAAAAGGUACCCCGGGGAUAACAGGCUGAUCUUCCCCAAGAGUCCAUAUCGACGGGAUGGUUUGGCACCUCGAUGUCGGCUCGUCGCAUCCUGGGGCUGGAGUAGGUCCCAAGGGUUGGGCUGUUCGCCCAUUAAAGCGGUACGCGAGCUGUGUUUAGAACGUCGCGAGACAGUUCGGUCCCUAUCCGCUGCGCGCGCAGGAGACUUGAAAGGAGCUGUCCCUAGUACGAGAGGACCGGGACGGACGAACCUCUGGUGUGCCAGUUGUUCCGCCAGGAGCAUGGCUGGUUGGCUACGUUCGGAAGGGAUAACCGCUGAAAGCAUCUAAGCGGGAAGCUCGCCUUGAGAUGAGGUCUCCCACCACGAAAGUGGGUAAGGCCCCCGGGAGACGACCGGGUUGAUAGGCCGGAGGUGGAAGCAUGGUAACGUGUGGAGCUGACCGGUACUAAUAGGCCGAGGACUUGACCAC